rnacentral:rRNA from 1 species
ACGGUGAUUAAUACUAGAUACUCCCUACGGGGGAAAGUUUUUCGCUAAAGGAUUGGCCUAUGUCCUAUCAGCUUGUUGGUGAGGUAAUGGCUCACCAAGGCUAUGACGGGUAUCCGGCCUGAGAGGGUGAUCGGACACACUGGAACUGAGACACGGUCCAGACUCCUACGGGAGGCAGCAGUAGGGAAUAUUGCUCAAUGGGGGAAACCCUGAAGCAGCAACGCCGCGUGGAGGAUGAAGGUUUUAGGAUUGUAAACUCCUUUUCCAAGAGAAGAUAAUGACGGUAUCUUGGGAAUAAGCACCGGCUAACUCCGUGCCAGCAGCCGCGGUAAUACGGAGGGUGCAAGCGUUACUCGGAAUCACUGGGCGUAAAGAGCGCGUAGGCGGGAUAGUAAGUCAGAUGUGAAAUCC